rnacentral:rRNA from 1 species
ACGUAGUGUGAAUUGCAGAAUUCCGUGAAUCAUCGAAUCUUUGAACGCAUAUUGCACUCGAGGCUUCGGCCGAGAGUAUGUCUGUCUCAGCGUCAUUCGUAACCCUCACCUCCCACCCCCCUAUACACAUCUGUGCAUAGGGUGUGGUGAGCGAUGCUCCCGCCCUCGUCGCGAGCGUCCGGUAGGUGGAGCUGGCUUUUGCUCUCACACGAGAGCAUCAGCUGAAGCGUCGAGCGCUCGAAGCAAGGACGUUUCCGACCCUCNANAANCGUCGGAAGACGAUGACUGNACAGGCUUUCCCUCAUUGAAACACGAAAGUCGUCGCNACCAUUGUCCUUGNGUGUGCGUAGGGCCCAACSUGNCAAGCGGNGNGUGGGNNUUUGNGNNUCUUUUACGGGACGCGCGCCCCCCCGCUCCAAAACCACAACCACUCCUUUACACCUUGACCUAGUCAGCAA